rnacentral:rRNA from 1 species
GGAGGUAGUGACAAUAAAUCACAAUGCGGGACUAUCAGUCUUGCAAUUGGAUUGAGAACAAUGUACAACUCUUAUCGAUAAGCCAUUGGAGGGCAAGUCUGGUGCCAGCAGCCGCGGUAAUUCCAGCUCCAAUAGCGUAUAUUAACGUUGUUGCAGUUAAAAAGCUCGUAGUUGAAGUGUGGGUGAUGCUGUCUGUGAGACUUCGGUCACUCGACAGUAAGUCACCCCCUUCCAGUAUCCAGUAGUGGGUAUUCAGUUACUUACUAUUGUGUGUUGGUCGUUUACUGUGAGAAAAUUAGAGUGUUCAAAGCAGGCGUUUGCUUGAAUAGAUUAGCAUGGAAUAAUAAUUGAAGGCUUUCGUGUUCGAUUUGAUUGGUUUGUUCAUGGAAGCAAGGUUAAAAGGAACAGUUGGGGGUAUUCAUAUUCACUAGUUAGAGGUGAAAUUCUCGGAUUUAUGGAAGAUGAACAAGUGCGAAAGCA